UGAAGAUGCGGAGUUCCUGCGGUUAGACGGAAAGACCCCGUGCACCUUUACUACAGCUUUGCAGUGGUAUCAGGAUGUGAAUGUGCAGAAUAGGUGGGAGGCUUUGAAGCCAUGGCGCCAGCCAUGGUGGAGCCACCUUUGAGAUACCACCCUUUUGCUUCCUGAUAUCUAACCGAGGUCCGUUAUCCGGAUCCGGGACCCUGCAUGGCGGGUAGUUUGACUGGGGCGGUCGCCUCCCAAAGAGUAACGGAGGCGCGCGAUGGUAGGCUCAGGCUGGUCGGACAUCAGCUUAAGAGUGCAAUGGCAAAAGCCUGCCUGACUGCGAGACUGACAAGUCGA
rnacentral:rRNA from 1 species